rnacentral:SRP_RNA from 1 species
CUUCGGGCUCCGCACAACGCAGCGCCGGUGAAUCCCGCCAGGCCGGGAACGGAGCAACGGUAGCCAUGCGCGCGUGUGUUGCGGGUAAGUCCGGAGUCU